GUAGAUUCUCCAUGGGGAAUUCUGAAAUGCAGGAGACACACACAGAGAACAAAAAAGAAAAAGCAGGUGAAGAAAGGAGAUUCUGCACCUCAAGCAGGACUUUCUCUGCCUCCUUAUGGAGCAAAACAGACCCAGUCCUUUCCCCAAUAUUUAAGCCCCAUUGCACACCCCUGCCCCAAAGGAUUAAAGGAUGGUUCACUGGAGAAGGAAACGGCAACCCACUCCAGUAUUCAUGCCUGGAAAAUCCCAUGGACCGAGGAGCCUGGUGGGCUACACUCCAUGGGGUCGCAGAGUCGGACAUGACCGAGCGACUUGUGUGUGUGUGUGUGUGUGUGUUAAAAAAAAAAAAAAAAAAGGAUGGUUCAGAGUAUUGACAGCCCUGAGUGACCCCUACCCUGUGCCAAGCAGUUGGGACCUUGAGUCAGAUGAAUCCAGAUCACAGAAACAUUUGAGAAUCAGUUUCCAGAAUGUGGGGUGGGAAGAGGGUUCAUCUUGCCUCCGUUGGAGUGAAAGUGUUAGUUGCUCAGUUGUGUCUGACUCUUUGCAACCCCAUGGACUGUACCCAGAAGGCUCCUCUGUCUGUGAAUUCUCCAGGCAAGAAUGCUGGAGCAGGUUGCCAUUUCCUUCUCCAGGGGAUCUUCUCGACCCAGGGACUGAACCGCAGUCUCCUGCUUUGGCAGGGGGAUUCUUUACCAUCUGGGCCACCAGGGAGGCCUGUUGGGUUGAGAUGCUCCCUUGGUCUUUUUCCACCCCUCUCUAUCCCACUACCCCAUCUGUAACUCCGGUUUGUUCAUGCACAGGAGGGAGAACUCUGACCACUCCACUCCCAUAUAGUACUCCGAGAAAGCUGAGGCCCACAUGGGCCCAAGGAAAGGACUCAUUUUUUCCACAUGCCCUGGCACAUGAGGACCCAGAAGCUACAGGAAAGGUGCCUGAGGAAGCGGCAGGCUUCGAUCCAUGGAACUGGAUCGAAGACUGGAGGCUGUGUGACCAGAACCUGCUCAAGGAAGAUGUCAGGAGCAUCUCUGAGUUAGCCUCCAGGGCAACAAAUUAUACUCAGCCCACCUACUCAGGACACACUGACCUGGCUGGUGCGGAGAAGUUCUGCCCCUUGCCCCUGCACCCAAGGAUGGAUAUAAAGACAGGUAGAUUCUUUACCAUCAAGCCACCUGGGAAGCCCCUGCUUGCUACACUACCAUCUAAAUGGAAUGACUUUCUUCCCUGUAGCCCAGAAAAUAAGCCUUCCUUCUCUCAUUCUGUGGUGGAGAGAUUGGGCUAAAAGGUAUUCUUUCAGUUGUCAUUUCUAAAUAAAUGUCAUGCACUCAGCUCUCCA
rnacentral:lncRNA from 1 species